rnacentral:lncRNA from 1 species
UCAAUCUUUAGCUGAUCGUAGUGUUUUGUUUGACUGGUAGAGACAACACUACGAUCUUGAAGAGUGUUGAUUGUAUCUUCAAUGUAGAACACAUCUUCCUUCUCUUGCGCAGUGCUUCAACACUUCUGUUUGCCUCAACAGCUCUCAGAUACUAAUGGCUUGACUUCUUUGUUCUGGCCCCUUCUGAAUAGCAAGACACUUCAGAUUUGUGGCGUGUCCAGCUCGCGUUCUCCUUGUGAUCUCCCGUUCACUUAUCAUCAAUGGAAUUACCCAAUGCUUAAUCACUUUAGCCUUGUUCUUAAAAAGCUGUCCAGUAUCUCUGUAUGUACUCCAUCAGUUCUUUCUUUAUUUGGCAAACACUACGAUCCUGGUUGCUUCCAAGAUCGUCGUCUUCUGUCUAUUUGACAGCUACUGCACUUGCUGACUUUUCUUAGUUAGUUACUGAAGUCUUCUUCCAAUCUCCUUGUGGAAGACUUCAUCCUGAAUGGCUUCACAACUCAAUCUGGAUGCUGACUGGGUUGGUGCUUAGAUCUUCUGUUA